rnacentral:lncRNA from 1 species
AUGUCCCAGUUUGGGCUGAGGGGUCACUCAGUGGUCACUCAGUGGUCACUCAGCGGUCACUCAGUGGUCACUUCCAGGCCAAUCCAGUGGUCACUCAGUGGUCACUCAGUGGUCACUCCAUGGUCACUUCCAGGCCAAUCCAGUGGUCACUCAGUGGUCACUUCCAAUGGUCACUCUGUGGUCACUCCAAAGCCAUUCCAGUGGUCACUCAGUGGUCACUUUGUGGUCACUCAGUGGUCACUCAGUGAUCACUCAAUGGUCACUUCCAGGGGUCACUCUGUGGUCACUCCAAAGCCAUUCCAGUGGUCACUCCAUGGUCACUUCAUGGUCACUGUGUGGUCACUCAGUGGUCACUUCCACGCCAUUCCAGAGGUCACUCAGUGGUCACUCAGUGGUCACUCAGAGGUCACUCAGUGGUCACUCACUGGUCAGUGGUCACUCAUUGGUCACUCAGCGGUCACUCAGUGGUCACUCAGUGGUCACUCAGUGGUCACUCAGGGUCAGUGGUCACUCAGUGGUCACUCAGUGGUCACUCACUGGUCAGUGGUCACUCAGCGGUCACUCAGCGGUCACUCACUGGUCAGCGGUCACUCAGUGGUCACUCAGGGUCACUCAGUGGUCACUCAGUGGUCACUCAGCGGUCACUCAGUGGUCACUCACUGGUCAGUGGUCACUCAGCGGUCACUCACUGGUCACUCACUGGUCAGUGGUCACUCAGUGGUCACUCAGGGUCACUCCCGGCCGCAGAACGCCGCGUGCGCCCCCAGUCCGGCCGCUCCGGCCGCAGCGAUGGCGACUUCGGCCCCCAGAGUGACCACAGCGAUGGCCAGCGGCUGCUGGGGGAGGGGCACCUGCGGACAGGGGUCAGAGGUCACGCGGGGUCACUCGGGGGUCACUCGGGGGUCACUCAGUGGUCACUCAGGGUCAGUGGUCACUCAGUGGUCACUCAUUGGUCACUCAGGGGUCAUUUUGGGCCAUUUUUGGGGCAUUUUGGGUCAGUGGUCACUCAGGGGUCACUCAAUGGUCACUCAUUGGUCAGUGGCCACUCAGGGGUCACUCUGGGGUCACUCGGGGUCAUUGGUCACUCAAGGGUCACUCAGGGGUCAUUUAGGGGCCAUUUUGGGUCAGUGGUCACUCAGGGGUCACUCAGGCGUUACUCAGGGUCAUUGGUCACUCAGUGGUCACUCAGGGGUCACUCAAUGGUCACUCAUUGGUCAGUGGUCACUCAUUGGUCACUCAAUGGCCACUCAUUGGUCAGUGGUCACUCCGGGGUCACUCAGUGGUCACUCAGUGGUCACUCAGGGUCACUCAGGGGUCACUCAUUGGUCACUCAGCGGUCACUCAGGGGUCACUCAUUGGUCACUCAGGGGUCACCGCGGGGUCAAAGGUCACUGACCUGCUCGCCCAGGUUGCUGAAGGCGUUCCCGUAGGCCCCGCCCCCCACAAGCCCCUCCCCCAGCGCCAGCGCCGCGGCCACGCCCAGCCCGGGCAGGAGGUGAUUGACAGCCACGGCGGCCAAUAGGAACGAGG